rnacentral:rRNA from 1 species
UACAGGACGAACGCUGGCGGCGUGCUUAACACAUGCAAGUCGAACGGGGAUAGCGUUGGAAGUCCUUCGGGGUGGAAGAUGCUAUUCGAGUGGCGGACGGGUGGGUAACGCGUGAACAAUCUGUCCCAGACAGGGGGAUAACACUUGGAAACAGGUGCUAAUACCGCAUAAGACCACGGUGUCGCAUGGCACAGGGGUAAAAGGAGCGAUCCGGUUUGGGGUGAGUUCGCGUCCGAUUAGCCAGUUGGCGGGGUAACGGCCCACCAAAGCGACGAUCGGUAGCCGAUCUGAGAGGAUGACCGGCCACAUUGGAACUGAGAGACGGUCCAAACUCCUACGGGAGGCAGCAGUGGGGAAUAUUGGGCAAUGGGCGAAAAAGCCUGACCCAGCAACGCCGCGUGAGUGAAGAAGGCCUUCGGGUUGUAAAGCUCUGUUAUAGGGGACGAAGGAAGUGACGGUACCCUAUAAGGAAGCCCCGGCUAACUACGUGCCAGCCGCCGC